CAGAACUCAGGGGAGCUCAGUGUUGUCCUGCUUUCUGGAGCAGCGAACUCGGGGGUCAUUGCCUCACAGUUUGCUGCAGAGAACUCGGGGGUCUUUGGCUAUUGACUCAGUGUCAUCCUGGUUUCUGGAGCAGAGAACUCAGGGCUCCUUGACAGCCAGGAGCUUCGGUUGAAGACAGGAGGACGACCUCAGGAGGCAGAAGGUACCUGCUUUUCUCUCUGUGCUUUGUCACGUUCCUACUGUACCCACCCAGAUGCCGCGUGCACGCCCUCCUGGCUCAGUGGCACACAUUUCAAUUGCUGUGUGGUUCAGCGGAGUUAAAAGUUUAAGAACCAGGAAAUGGGUAAAGUAGUGUUUCAUAUGCGCUUAAAUAUCUGCAUUUAUUACACGUAGCUUGUACUCCAGCCUGGUAUAAGCAGAUGUUCAGCUUUAUGCCAGAACAUCAUGGAAUGUUCUGUAAUUAACAAGCCAUUUUGCAUCUACAUCUCAUUCUCUGGGAAGCGAUUACUGACUUGGUAGGAUCGACCAAGCGUUCCGGCCCCAAGACGACUGAAGAAGGCACGAGUACAUUACUGUUCAGGAACAUGUAAGAGGAUGCAAAUGAUCAGGCAAAGAGGAGCCGUGGCAAGUGAGGAGAGCGCCGUGCUGAUUAUAAAACAUCCAAAAAAAAAUUCUAGGACUUUGUUUCAUUUUAAGCACACAUUUACUUCAGUGAUGAAGCCAUCUGCAAGUAAUUAGAGAAACAGACCAUGCUGUAGCAGGUUUGGUACAGGAUAUAUCCUCUGACAGUUGCUUAGGAACGGCGUAAUGGGCAGUGAAACAUGUAGGGGGGAGAGAGCCGUUUGUGUACAGAAAUAGACAGACGGUGGGGAAACAAGCCUAGAGGAAAAAAAACAACAAUGCUGCUUUUCUGGAGGAGCUGAGGCCCCCCCCCCCCCUCCGAUCUGUCAUGGUGUGUUUAGCACAUGCUUCCCAUUCCAUCUGUUCCCGGCCUUGUCGCUCAGGGAGGAGGACGGACAGGCACCUCGCGGAAAGGGGCCCGGCAGAAGGCGGAACUCACCGUGUGCGAGCGCGACUUGCCUGAGCGCCGAUUGAAGUCGCCUUCGCUUAUCGUGACACCGUGCCUGUGAUUGUAUUUUUAUCCUCGCUAUCAUGCGAUAUUAUCAGCUGCCUUAUGCCUCGCUGCAGCCUGUUAUUAUAUCGAUGUCAAAUCAUGUUUCCGUGCACGAGGGACUUUGAAGAUGUUAGGGACACCAGGUCUUAUUCCUGGCUUACUUCCAUAUUUUGCCACACAGUAUCAUUCCACAUAUUUGAGCCAGGCAUAACUUUGGACUCAUUAAAACAAUAACAAGCCA